GAAAUCCGCGCGCAGCCUCCGCCGCUGCACACUGCGGCCUCUGCUGAACCCCUGCCGCGCCGCCGCCUUCGCCAGUCCGGACCGGACCGGCCCGCGUUCCCUUCCUCCGCUCCAGCCGGCCUCCGGCCCCGCAACCUCCUCCUCGGCGAAGUCUCCCUGGCCGCCCCAUGUCGGCCGCCCCCGCCUACAGCGAAGACAAGGGCGGCUCCGCUGGCCCCGGGGAGCCCGAGUACGGCCACGACCCCGCGAGCGGCGGCAUCUUCUCCUCCGACUACAAGCGGCAUGAUGACCUGAAGGAGAUGCUGGACACCAACAAGGAUUCUCUCAAGCUGGAGGCCAUGAAGAGGAUUGUGGCGAUGAUUGCCCGAGGAAAGAAUGCUUCAGACCUGUUUCCCGCGGUGGUGAAGAACGUGGCCUGUAAGAACAUAGAGGUGAAGAAGCUUGUCUACGUGUACCUGGUACGCUACGCUGAGGAGCAGCAAGACCUGGCCCUGCUGUCCAUCUCCACCUUCCAACGUGGCCUAAAGGUCAGGGGUCUCAGUUUGCCUCCCAGGGCCUGGGCCUCGUUGGCGCUGUAUCGGAGGAGUAGGCCUGGGGAGAGGCCAUGAACAUGGGAGCGGGCUCUGCAGACCCCUUCCUACCUGCCUAAAGUUGGGAGGGUCACAGUCAGAAGAGGCCAGCCAGACCCUCAGAGAGUGGAAGCUGGGCUCAGAAGGGGCGUAAGAGAUGAAGUGGGUACCCAGGGCCCCUGUCUCUCUUCCCAGGAGCCUGUGGUAAUGGCUGCUUCUAGUAUGAACCACUUGAGCCCCCGGAGAGUGGAGAGUCUCUAGCAAUG
rnacentral:sRNA from 1 species